UACGUAGGGGGCUAGCGUUGUCCGGAAUCAUUGGGCGUGAAGCGCGCGUAGGCGGCCAGAUUAGUCCGGUGUGAAAGUCAGAGGCUCAACCUUUGAAUGCCGCUGGAAACUGUCUGGCUUGAGUCCGGAAGGGGCGAGUGGAAUUCCUGGUGUAGCGGUGAAAUGCGCAGAUAUCAGGAGGAACACCAAUGGCGAAGGCAGCUCGCUGGAACGGUACUGACGCUGAGGCGCGAAAGCGUGGGGAGCGAACAGG
rnacentral:rRNA from 1 species